rnacentral:rRNA from 1 species
UACCGUAGAGUAGCGACGACGGUCGUACCGGAACUUAAGGGUUAGGGUACGGUAAAGGGUACGCAGGCGGAUAGGUAAAGUCAAGCGUGAAAGGUGUCGGCUUAACCGACAGACGUGCGUUUGAAACUGGAUUAUCUUGAGUGUAACAGAGGAGAGUGGAAGUUCCUAGUGUAGUGGUGAAAUACGUAGAUAUUAGGAAGAACACCAGUGGCGAAGGCGACUCUCUGGGUUAACACUGACGCUGAGGUACGAAAGCUGGGGGAGCAAACGGGAUUAGAUACCCGCGUAGU